UUCAUAAGCUCUACAUCCAGUAAGUGAGCGAGCUUCGCAAAACAAGUUAAAAGAUCACAAUACCACCCAAAAGAUUAAGUCUCAGAUGUUGUCAAUAUAUAGACUCCGCUCCAGGAAUCAUAUGUUCAUCAGAAAGAUAAAGACAUCCAUACUUCAAAUGACACUGGGCUAAAAGGGUUUUGAAAAAGAGUGUUCCUUAAUUGUGCAAGACUUUUGUAAGAAAUUAUCUGGUAAACCUUUUUGUGACUUGUAUAGAAACCUGUAUGUAAAGAUGCAGCAAGUUUGGUUUAUGAAAUGAAUUUUUGAUCUGAUACCUGUUUGUCUA